CACGUAGGGGGCGAGCGUUGUCCGGAUUUAUUGGGCGUAAAGAGCUCGUAGGCGGCUCAGUAAGUCUACUGUGAAAGCUCCAGGCUCAACCUGGAGAGGCCAGUGGAUACUGCUGUGGCUAGAGUCCGGUAGGGGAGCGUGGAAUUCCCAGUGUAGCGGUGGAAUGCGCAGAUAUUGGGAGGAACACCAGCGGCGAAGGCGGCGCUCUGGGCCGGAACUGACGCUGAGGAGCGAAAGCGUGGGUAGCAAACAGG
rnacentral:rRNA from 1 species